GCCCAAUCACCGACGCACCCACGAGCCCUUCUCUCCCAUGCACCCACGGCUGCCAACCCUAGCCCUCUCCCUCCCUCAGAUCUCAAUCUUCCGCCGCCCCAACCCAAUCCCUACCCCCACGUAGCCCAACCCAAUCCGCCGCCGUCCUCUUCUCUAGUCGCACCGGCGAGCUCCAACCUCAUCGCCGGCAGCCCCUCCCCUCUCCUCCUAGAUCCACUCGGGCUACUCAUGUCGUGGCCAGAUCUGGCAGGAACUCCCUCCCUCCCACCUCGCUCCGAAUCCCGAUCCAUACGCACACACAGACAGAGCUUUGGGAGCUCCUGCUCGGCUGCUCACGGCCACGGUCCAUGGACGACGCGGACAUGCGGGAGGUGCUGCUGUACCGGGACGGGCUGGUCACGGCCGCCGCGUCCGUACCGGUGGCCACGUCGGGGGCUUUCCUGCCCGAGGGGAUCGCGGUCGGCGACGCCGUCUGGCUCUUCUACGCCGCCAGGGCCCGGGGGCUCACUCCCCCCUCCGCGCGCAGUUCACCGUCCUUGUCAAGUCCAACAUCUUCAUCGAGGGCGUCUCCCACAAGAUUCGCCGGUAGAUCGAGGACCUGGAGCGCGCCGGAAGGGUCGAGCCUGGCACCCUCACCGUCGACGGCGUCCCCGCAGACAGCUACCUCACCAGGUUCGCGUGGGACGAGGGCAAGUACCCCGUCAACGCCCCGUUCAAGGAGACCGUCAGCAGCAUCCAGUCCCAGGUCGCCAAGAUCGAGGAUGACAUGAAGAUUUGUAGAAGCUGCCGCUGCUGUAGGUGGAACAGGAAGAAGCCCUCAUGGCUGCUGCACAUCUGAAGUGGUGUUGCAUGUUCUGGAAGAUGGAAGAGGAAGAAAACCUAUUUUGUUGAACUAAAUUUUUUGUAUUCUGUUUUGUUGUACGUAUCAUUUGAUAGUUUUGUAUAGGAACAAGUGAUACUAUUUUGUAGGGCAUUAUGGCUUGUGAUGUAAACAUAUUUAGUUCUGAAAUAUGAAAUUAUUUGCAAAAUUUGUUGAAAAGGAGGAUCAUAUGUAUGAAUAUGUGAAUGGGCUGAAAACAGUACUGGACCAACUCUAGGAUUGAAUUAUUAUUUGAAUGUAUAAAAAGGCUGAAUGUAAA